CGUGUAGGCGGUCAGGUAAGUGAGAUGUGAAAUGCCCCGGCUCACCCGGGGACCGGCAUCUCAUACUGCUUGGCUUGAGUACGGGAGAGGAUGUGGGAAUUCCUGGUGUAGCGGUGAAAUGCGUAGAUAUCAGGAGGAACACCGGUGGCGAAGGCGCACAUCUGGCCCGAUACUGACGCUGAGGCGCGAAAGCUAGGGGAGCAAACG
rnacentral:rRNA from 1 species